rnacentral:rRNA from 1 species
CCUACGGGUGGCUGCAGUGAGGAAUAUUGGUCAAUGGCCGGAAGGCUGAACCAGCCAUGCCGCGUGAAGGUCAGUGCUCUAUGGGCGUUAAACUUCUUUUGUGCGGGAGCAAUAAUGGUCACGUGUGGCCAGACGAGAGUACCGUACGAAUAAGCAUCGGCUAACCUCGUGCCAGCAGCCGCGGUAAUACGGGGGAUGCAAGCGUUAUCCGGGUUUAUUGGGAUUAAAGGGUGCGUAGGCUGUGAGGUAAGUCAGCGGUGAAAUGCCCCCGCUCAACGGGGUGAAGUGCCUGUGAUACUGCCUGGCUGGAAUGGGGAUGCAGUGGGAGGAAUGUGUGGUGUAGCGGUGAAAUGCAUAGAUAUCACACAGAACACCGAUUGCGAAGGCAGCUCACGAAUCCGCGAUUGACGCUGAGGCACGAAAGCGUGGGUAUCAAACAGGAUUAGAUACCCCUGUAGUC